rnacentral:rRNA from 1 species
GUGGGGAAUUUUGGACAAUGGGCGCAAGCCUGAUCCAGCAAUGCCGCGUGCAGGAAGAAGGCCUUCGGGUUGUAAACUGCUUUUGUACGGAACGAAAAGGCUCUGGUUAAUACCUGGGGCUCAUGACGGUACCGUAAGAAUAAGCACCGGCUAACUACGUGCCAGCAGCCGCGGUAAUACGUAGGGUGCAAGCGUUAAUCGGAAUUACUGGGCGUAAAGCGUGCGCAGGCGGUUUUGUAAGACAGACGUGAAAUCCCCGGGCUCAACCUGGGAAUGGCGUUUGUGACUGCAAAGCUGGAGUGCGGCAGAGGGGGAUGGAAGUCCGCGUGUAGCAGUGAAAUGCGUAGAUAUGCGGAGGAACACCGAUGGCGAAGGCAAUCCCCUGGGCCUGCACUGACGCUCAUGCACGAAAGCGUGGGGAGCAAACAGGAUUAGAAACCCCAGUAGUCC